AUGCCCUGGUUUCUCUUCAUCAUACGAGCUAAUCUUUCACCUUUUACUGAAGAUUACCGUGGAGAGGAAUAUUACAAAAAGCCUGUAAGUAAUUUUUGCAAUCCUCACCUGAUGGUGGGGU
rnacentral:snRNA from 1 species